AGCCCGGUCGUCUAGCGGCCAAGCGUCUGGUCAGGUAACCCCGCGGACGCCGGUUCGAAUCCGGCCCGGGCUA
rnacentral:tRNA from 1 species